CAGCGUCACGAGUGGCAAUCAGAUUUAUUGGGUCUAAAGCGUCCGUAGCCGGUUUGAUAAGUCUUUUGUGAAAUUGUUGUGCUUAACAUAACAACGUGCAAGAGAUACUGUCAGACUUGGAACUGGGAGGGGUUAGAGGUAUUCCUUGGGGAGCGGUAAAAUGCUAUAAUCCUUGGAGGACCACCUGUGGCGACGGCUUCUAACCAGAACAGCUUCGACGGUGAGGGACGAAAGCUAGGGGAGCAAACCGGAUUAGAUACCCGAGUAGUCC
rnacentral:rRNA from 1 species